GAGGGUAUAGCUCAGCGGCAGAGUGUGUGCUUAGCAUGCACAAGGUCCGAGGUCUUGGGUUCAACACCCAGUACAUCCA
rnacentral:tRNA from 1 species